rnacentral:rRNA from 1 species
CCCUAUUAUUUUAGAGUGUUAAUUGUUUUUUGCCUGAGUAGUAUUAGUUAUGUUCUUGAAACUUAAAGAAUUUGGCGGUAUCUCAUUCCGUCCAGAGGAAUCUGUCUCGUUAUCGAUAGUCCACGUUGGACCUUACUUGGUUGCUUUGGUUUGUAUACCGCCGUUUAUUGAUUAUCUUUUUAGGGUUUAUUAAUUUUCUAGUUUCUUUAUUUUGAGUUAUUUCAGGUCAAGGUGCAGCUUGUUUCUAAGUGAAUGAUGGAUUACAUUGUUAUUUGUUUUAUGGAUUAUUGGUUUUAAUAUUGGUAUGAAAUUGGAUUUGGUUGUAAUGAUUUGUAGAUUGUUAUUGUGAUAAAUGGUUCUGGGAUAUGUACACAUCGCCCGUCGCUCUCGUUUUGUUGUUAAUGAGAUAAGUC